CUACCCUAUUAGGCAUCACUCAGAGUUCACUGAGGCAGUGAAAUGGCACCAUAACCAGCGAGAAGGCAGAAGAUGCGAGCACCAACUUUAACUAUUACCCAGCACUGGAAAAUUAAACUACUGCAGAUAUAUCCAGCUUUAUAUUGAUCCAGCGAAACUACUCCCACUUCAGCGAUUUUUGCCAUGACCACCAGGUGCAAAAGGUCAGAUGAGGGGAGCUCAUGUUGGAGGUCAAGUUGGACGUGGUUUCCGAGGUGUUGACAGGUAAACUGGCUGUAGACAAUCUUUCGAUGAAUGUUUCAGGAUUUUUCCACCAUUUUCAUUUCGGCUUCUUCCAAAUGAGGAAUGACUGACACUGUUCUGCCACAAAUUGUGGUCCGUUGUCACUGACUAACACCAGUCCUUGUGAAGAGGCUUCUCAACACGUCAACAGUGAGGCUGCAGUAGAGGGUAUUAGGAACACUUCUGGCCACUUUGUAGCUGGCAUCCUCUACUACCGUGAAAUAUGGGCCCAUGAGUAGUCUGGCAAAAUCUGCAUGAAUCCUCUGCUGGGGCAAUGCAGGCCAGUUCCAGCGAUGGAGGGGCACUGCUCUCGGCAUAUUCUGGACGUGUUGGCAUCCCGUACAGGGCUUGGCAAGCCGUUCAAUCUGCUGAUCUAUCCCAAGCCACCAGACAAAGCUUCAAGCCAGUACUUCCAUUCUAACCACACCUGGAUGGUAGCUGCAACUCCUCCUGAAAGUUAGCUCUCAGCUUAUUCAAUAACAUAAGUCAUUCAUAGGUUUAUUGGUGGAUUCCGUGGUACCUACUGCCAACUUGAAUCAUUAUCUAACAAAGUAAAUGUAAAGUCAUUGUAAUU